UACGUAGGGGGCUAGCGUUGUCCGGAAUCAUUGGGCGUAAAGCGCGUGUAGGCGGUCCGGUAAGUCCGCUGUGAAAGUCAAAGGCUCAACCUUUGAAUGCCGCUGGAAACUGUCUGGCUAGAGUCCGGAAGGGGCGAGUGGAACUCCUGGUGUAGCGGUGAAAUGCGCAGAUAUCAGGAAGAACACCAAUGGCGAAGGCAGCUCGCUAGGACGGUACUGACGCUGAGGCGCGAAAGCGUGGGGAGCAAACAGG
rnacentral:rRNA from 1 species